rnacentral:rRNA from 1 species
AGAGUUUGAUCAUGGCUCAGAAUGAACGCUGGCGGCAGGCCUAACACAUGCAAGUCGAACGGAUCCUUCGGGAUUAGUGGCGGACGGGUGAGUAACGCGUGGGAACAUACCCUUUGGUACGGAAUAGCCUCGGGAAACUGGGAGUAAUACCGUAUGUGCUCGAAAGAGGAAAGAUUUAUCGCCAAAGGAUUGGCCCGCGUUGGAUUAGGUAGUUGGUGGGGUAAUGGCCUACCAAGCCGACGAUCCAUAGCUGGUUUGAGAGGAUGAUCAGCCACACUGGGACUGAGACACGGCCCAGACUCCUACGGGAGGCAGCAGUGGGGAAUCUUAGACAAUGGGGGAAACCCUGAUCUAGCCAUGCCGCGUGAUCGAUGAAGGCCUUAGGGUUGUAAAGAUCUUUCAGAUGGGAAGAUAAUGACGGUACCAUCAGAAGAG